UACGAAGGGGGCUAGCGUUGCUCGGAAUCACUGGGCGUAAAGGGUGCGUAGGCGGGUCUUUAAGUCAGGGGGGAAAUCCUGGAGCUCAACUCCAGAACUGCCUUUGAUACUGAAGAUCUUGAGUUCGAGAGAGGUGAGUGGAACUGCGAGUGUAGAGGUGAAAUUCGUAGAUAUUCGCAAGAACACCAGUGGCGAAGGCGGCUCACUGGCCCGAUACUGACGCUGAGGCACGAAAGCGUGGGGAGCAAACAGG
rnacentral:rRNA from 1 species